rnacentral:rRNA from 1 species
UACGUAGGGGCUAGCGUUGUCCGGAUUUAUUGGGCGUAAAGAGCGUGUAGGCGGCCAUGUAGGUCCGGUGUGAAGACUCGAGGCUUAACCUCGAGAUGUCAUCGGAAACCAUUUGGCUAGAGUCCGGAAGAGGAGAGUGGAAUUCCUGGUGUAGCGGUGAAAUGCGUAGAUAUCUGGAGGAAUACCGGUGGCGAAGGCGGCAUCCUGGACCGACAUUGACGCUGAGGAGCGAAAGCUAGGGGAGCAA